GGGAGCCAGUCGAGGGAAGUGUGUGCUUUUCAGUUCCUCACGGUCCUGUUGGUGGUAGCUGGGAAUGCCUUCUGAAAGCACUAUCUGUCUUGUUGUGGUCUGUCGUGAAUGAGCAGCCAACUGUUUUGUGCUUCCCACUUUGCUCCUCUCCUGCCAUGAGCUGGAUAAAUAAACCAGGAAUCUUUGGUUUCCCAUUACAUCUGAACGAAAGAUGGUGGUUGGCUGCUCAUUUACAAACCACAGUCAGCAAACUGCCCCUUAAGCUGUGGUUUGUGGUUGGCUUGCUGGCUGUGGCUUCUUAGGGAGUAGCAAAAGCCAGGAUCCCUGCUUUGAAUGUUUCCCGCCUUCCUUUCACACGGGGGGGGGCAUGUUUAGGGUUGGGGGGAGCAAAGUGAGAAUGAUCAGGCAGCAUGCACAAUAAACACUGAUAAACCAGAGAGUCUGGCUUAGCGUUGUGUGUGAAUGUGAACAAUGAGUAAAGAGCUGUCUUUUUGCUCCGAUGAGCAGUGAGAAUUGCUGAUUCUGAGGCCCUGCACUGCACAAUGGUCCAGCAAUGCCUCUGAGCCACUUCCUGUUGCUGUCGAGAUGUGCUGGGCAGCAUUGACUAGGGAUAUUGUAAACCUGUUCCAAGCCAAGCUAAAUAAUGUUUUCAGGUUUCCGAUGAACCCCACUGUUAGAUUGUAAACAGUACAGAGAGCUUCCUUUUCUGAGGGUAGUCAGGAGAGACAGACAGGAGGAUCUUUGGAGUCACUGCUGCUUCUAAAAGGGAUAAAACUCCCUCUCGAGGCUGAGGACUUCAGCCGAGGAAGAGGGAGCAGGCCAGGAAGUAAGCUGUCUUGCAGCAAGAGUUACUCCUCCUAUCCCAGCUUCUUGCAUGGCAUUACCCGAGCUUGGUGCUUUCAGCUUCUUUACAGUGCUGCCUUGUUGCAAUCAUGUCAAGCAGCAUUGUACAGGGCUAUGAAAGAGCCAGGCCCUCUCAUCUUUUGCCUUGGGGCAUCCGUGGCGCAGCAAGGAAGGCUAGCAUCCCUGCCGCUGUAACCCAUCGCCUGAUAUAACAGCAGCUCCAAAGAGAAGCCUUUGGGGGACACUCAGAGGAGGUGUGAAGGAUAAUUGGAAAACCAGAGGCAAAGGUGACACUGUGGUAGGAAAGGGAUAGAGGAGGAAAGUGGUAACAGCCAGGACUUCAGCUUUACCUGAUCUCAAUUGCCUGCCUUCACCCCAGGUCUUAAGGUGAGUCGCUGAUGCAGAAGUUAUUUCUGCAAGGUAGCUUGCACAAUAGAUAUUGUGCUGACUUAUUUCUCCUCUAGGAUGUGAACUUCACAGCACCCUACCCACCGUUGACCACUCCAGUCCCCCUCUCUUACUGGGCACAGCUUCUCCUGUCCCUAGAUCCCAGUUCUCUCUCCACUGAUCCCUACUUGCCAAAGCAAACAUGCCACCACCUUCACAGCAGGCGCCCUGACAGUUAAUAUUCUGUGACUGACACUUGCCCAUCAGCAGUAGCUCAGCCAGGGAAUAAGACAGGACCUUGAAGGCCACCAAUCUUAAAACGUUUUCUGUCCACAGGAUGAAAACCAGCAGAAACCCCCAGGAAUCAUCUGUUCAGUUAUUUUGCUCAAACGUCUCUUCUGUGAUGCCUGACCCCCACUUCAUUAUCUCGUUCUCUAUCCUAGCUUGUCCCAUUUUGCUGCAACUAAUUUCCACACCGCAAUCUGUUCUCUCCCAUCUGGACCAGGCUUGCACCCUCUAAUAAUUGCUUAGCUCCUGAGCUUGGUGCUAACUUGGAAAUGCAAAGCAGUGCAAAGUGGGGCUCGGGGGAUAUGAUGCUCUUAACUAACUUAAACUACUGGGAAAUGUUGGUCGUUGAGUGAGACACAAAGGCAAGAACUAAAUCGGCCUUCGGCAGCCUGGUGCUCUCCAUAGAAUGGACUACAGCUCCAGCCAGCUGGGACUGAUGGGAGUUGUAGCCCAACGACAUUGGGGGCUGCACUAGGUUGGCAAAGGCUAAACUAAA